UCUACAAAAACCCUACCGAGAGGAGCUCUCAGGCCUGUUAGGUAUUUUAACUACCGUUAGCUAACUGGCUGUUUCAGCUCUCGGUGAAACGCGAUCUUAUUACUGAACUACAGCGUGGUUUAAAAGCUGCUGCUGAUUGAGAAAAACACACCCUGUGCUGGGAGAGAAGGUCGUGAAUCAGCUCUUAAACGGCGCUGGGUGUUUGUUUUGUUUCUGAACAAGCAGGUGACGCUGCAACUGGAUUUUAUAAAGAUAUGAGAAAAGAAUGCUUUCGUCGUGGAUUUAACAUGAAAAGGCCCAGUUCCAAAAGACACAACAUCCUCAGUGUCCUGGAGCUCCAGCUGAAGCACUGGCCACUCCACCUUCUCCAUCCCCACCCAAAAGAGGUACUUCUAAGGCAGCUAGUUGAAGGCGUGAUUGAGGUCCAUGCCAGAGGGGUUCUGCACUGUGACCUCAAGACAUAGAACAUCCUGGUUCAGAUGUACAGUUAGGAACCACGCCUUCAUCUUCUGUUCUUCUGGACCUUCCUCAUGAGUGGUUUACCCAUGAGGCCAAAUCCUCCACAGUGUUGCAGAUAGGAAUCAUCCUGCUGUGUGUGAGAGGUGACCCUUCAACACCAGCACGGAGAUCACCUCAAAGAAGUCUCAGAUCAUCUCUCCACCAUCUGCUCUAUGACCCCUGGCUAAGUAUACACCACGACACAGCCACCACAUCAGGCACACCUCAGUCAGGUACCAUAUAAAACAAUAAUGAUAAUAAUUUUUAAAAAUCUAUAUUUUCAAUCUCUAGUUUAGAGAGUUCUCUAGUAGAGCUGGGCGAUUAAUCGAUUUUAUCGAUAAAUUCGAAUUUAUAGUUAAGGACAAUGUGUUUUUAUGAAAAUCGAUUUUCUCUGAGUUUUCUUUUUCACCACAGACGCUCCUCUGUGGGCACAGAGUGAGCUUAGCUAGCUCCCUCCAUACCUCCCUCCCUCCAGCGCGCGCACCCCCCGCCCCUCCCUCACUCCCUCCCUCCCUCCCUUGCACGCACAAACACACACGCACACAAACACACAUACACAAAACACAUGACGGCGGAGCUUAAGAGCAACUAGCUCCGUGAUCUGGAGUUGGUUCGGUUUUGCGGCGUCGGACGUAGACCAAACAGGUCCUCGCUGUAAGGUGAACCAAUUUAUCACUAUACCUUAAACAGAACCAUGUAGCGGAGUGGGAGAAGUGCUGCUACCAUAGGAAUGAACGCAGCAGCAGCACCAGUUCACCAUUCAACGUUAAACAA